UAAUUCAGUGUUUCUAUAAACAAACUAGCAUAGCUCUCCAAGCAACUCGACAACAUCUAAUACAGCAUAUAACAUUCACAACUAUAUAUCAUUCAAAAUCAUAUAACAUUCACAGCGUAUAACAUUCACAGCAUUUAACAUUCACAGCAUAAUAAAGCCCACUACCAGUCACAAUUGCACAAUCAUAUAACAUUCAGACGUUUGCUUUUGGGACAACGGACUCAAUC
rnacentral:lncRNA from 1 species